rnacentral:pre_miRNA from 10 species
GGCUGUUGAGUGGUUUAGGUAGUGUCAUGUUGUUGGGCUUUUUCUUUUUCUCCCACAACACCAACCUGCAUUGAUUACCACAGUAAGACUCGUCGACGAC